UACGGAGGGUGCAAGCGUUGUCCGGAAUCACUGGGCGUAAAGGGCGCGUAGGCGGCUCGGUAAGUAGGGGGUGAAAUCCUGCGGCUUAACCGCAGGGCUGCCUUCUAAACUGUCGAGCUUGAGCACGGUAGAGGCAGAUGGAAUUCCCGGUGUAGCGGUGGAAUGCGUAGAGAUCGGGAAGAACAUCAGUGGCGAAGGCGGUCUGCUGGGCAGUUGCUGACGCUGAGGCGCGACAGCGUGGGGAGCAAACAGG
rnacentral:rRNA from 1 species